GAUGAACGCUGGCGGCGUGCCUAAUACAUGCAAGUCGAGCGAACGGACGAGAAGCUUGCUUCUCUGAUGUUAGCGGCGGACGGGUGAGUAACACGUGGAUAACCUACCUAUAAGACUGGGAUAACUUCGGGAAACCGGAGCUAAUACCGGAUAAUAUUUUGAACCGCAUGGUUCAAAAGUGAAAGGCGGUCUUGCUGUCACUUAUAGAUGGAUCCGCGCUGCAUUAGCUAGUUGGUAAGGUCACGGCUUACCAAGGCAACGAUGCAUAGCCGACCUGAGAGGGUGAUCGGCCACACUGGAACUGAGACACGGUCCAGACUCCUACGGGAGGCAGCAGUAGGGAAUCUUCCGCAAUGGGCGAAAGCCUGACGGAGCAACGCCGCGUGAGUGAUGAAGGUCUUCGGAUCGUAAAACUCUGUUAUUAGGGAAGAACAUAUGUGUAAGUAACUGUGCACAGCUUGACGGUACCUAAUCAGAAAGCCACGGCUAACUACGUG
rnacentral:rRNA from 1 species